AGUUCCUAUAGCAAGACAGCCCCCAGGCUCAUGAGAACUUGCCUUUCUUUGGCACAGGAACAUCCAGGCACAAUGUCAAGGCCUGGAAAAAUGAGCAGGGACAGCAUUCCUCUCUUCUCUUGGAAAAGACCCUAUCAGCUUUAUUUAGUACUAGCAUUUUGUACCUUCCCAGCAGAAAAUGUUUAGGACAGGUACUCUCCACUUGACCGAAGGAACCGUUUUUCUCUUGAAGACACAAUUAGAGUAAAACAGACGUGUUGGUUUCCUGGGCCCUUAUUUCUAGGACCAGUGUCUUGACUGGCUCCGGUGCAGCCCCAAGUCUUAGAUUGGGAAAGAUAUUUACAUAAUACAGGAGGAUAAAUCUGUAUCUCCCUCCCUUCCCACCUCCACUCCAACUGCGGGAUCUUUUUGACCAUCACCAAGCCAAAAUCAGCCCUAAUGUGUGAAUAAGAACCGACAUCUUUUUUUUUAUCCCCACCCGAGGAUUGUUUAUUGAUUUGAGAGGGAAAGGAACAGAGAGAAAAAACAGACAGACAGGAACUAUUGAUGGCUUACCUCCUGUCGAUGCCCCAACCAGGGAUCUAACCUGCAGCCUAGGCAAGUCAUCUAACUAUACUGUAACUGACUCGUGUGUAAAAUGAAGAAGAUAACAUAACAUAUAGCUGCCUCGAAGAUUAGGUCGACGUUUUUCAUAGCCAAGCUCUCGAACUUCAUUCACUGGGUACAUGUGAGUACACUUCCCACUUUCCUUAUCUCUCUCCUGAUUUUCCUCCCCUUCCCCUUCACCCGAC